CAGUCGCCGCGGUAAUACGUAGGUGGCAAGCGUUGUCCGGAAUUAUUGGGCGUAAAGGGCUCGCAGGCGGUUUCUUAAGUCUGAUGUGAAAGCCCCCGGCUCAACCGGGGAGGGUCAUUGGAAACUGGGAAACUUGAGUGCAGAAGAGGAGAGUGGAAUUCCACGUGUAGCGGUGAAAUGCGUAGAGAUGUGGAGGAACACCAGUGGCGAAGGCGACUCUCUGGUCUGUAACUGACGCUGAGGAGCGAAAGCGUGGGCAGCGAACAGGAUUAGAUACCCCCGUAGUCCCUGUCUCUUAUAC
rnacentral:rRNA from 1 species